AGGGAGCCAAGGGCUGUUUUUAGAUGUUUUCAUUUACAAUAAA
rnacentral:sRNA from 11 species